CUCUGGGACCAUUACCUGAGGUGAAGGCAGACACCCAACAGACUGAGCCACCCAGGUGCCACAGAACCAACAGCUGACUCCUGACUUCCUGUGAAUAACACAGUGUUCAUGAAUCACUCCAUGUAAAAAACAUAUUCUAGACAAUCAAGCCUAUCAAAAUGCAUUUCUACAUGCAAAAGAAUCUGUUUAGGUGCCUCUUCCCCUGUACCAGAUGGCUGAGGAGGUGUUAACAUCAUGAUGCUCAGCUGUAACAGUCCUAAGGCUCUACAAAAUGAAAAAUGAGGAGUUGGAGAGGCAUCAAUGAAGGAUUAGUAAAUCAAAUUUUAAUUGCUGCUGAUAUAAACAACAGCAGGGGUUGGGAUAUGAUAUUGCUGCUCUGCAUGAAAACCAGCAGGGAUGCAAUAAAUCUUAGAGAUGCUCACAGCUAUCAAAGUUGUAUUUUAUAAAAAAGAAACGGUAAAGGAAAGUGGUUUGAGGUUCAUACUCACUUUCCCUCUCCUGUAUCUCAUGGACAAGAGUUGUUUAAAGGUCCUCUGUAACUUACCAAAAAGGCUUUUUCCAUUA